rnacentral:rRNA from 1 species
GAUGAACGCUGGCGGCGUGCCUAAUACAUGCAAGUCGAGCGAACGGACGAGAAGCUUGCUUCUCUGAUGUUAGCGGCGGACGGGUGAGUAACACGUGGAUAACCUACCUAUAAGACUGGGAUAACUUCGGGAAACCGGAGCUAAUACCGGAUAAUAUUUUGAACCGCAUGGUUCAAAAGUGAAAGACGGUCUUGCUGUCACUUAUAGAUGGAUCCGCGCUGCAUUAGCUAGUUGGUAAGGUAACGGCUUACCAAGGCAACGAUGCAUAGCCGACCUGAGAGGGUGCUCGGCCACACUGGAACUGAGACACGGUCCAGACUCCUACGGGAGGCAGCAGUAGGGAAUCUUCCGCAAAGGGCGAAAGCCUGACGGAGCAACGCCGCGUGAGUGAUGAAGGUCUUCGGAUCGUAAAACUCUGUUAUUAGGGAAGAACAUAUGUGUAAGUAACUGUGCACAUCUUGACGGUACCUAAUCAGAAAGCCACGGCUAACAACGUG